rnacentral:tRNA from 1 species
AUUCAAGUAGCUUAAUUAAAGCUGAACAUUGAAAAUGUUUGAAUACAUAUUUGUCUUGAAUA